rnacentral:rRNA from 1 species
AUACGUAGGUGACAAGCGUUAUCCGGAUUUAUUGGGCGUAAAGGGCGUGUAGGCGGUCUUGCCAGUCAGAAGUGAAAUUCCUGAGCUCAACCCGGGCGCUGCACCUGAUACUGCUGAGCUAGAGUACGGGAGUGGUUAGGGGAAUUUCCGGUGUAGCGGUGAAAUGCGUAGAUAUCGGAAGGAACACCUGUGGCGAAAGCGGCUCACUGGGCCAUUACUGACGCUGAGGCACGAAAGCUAGGGGAGCAAACAGGAUUAGAUACCCUGGUAGUCCUAGCCCUAAACGAUGAUUGCUUGAUGUGGCAGGUACCCAAUCCUGCCGUGUCGAAGCUAACGCGAUAAGCAAUCCGCCUGGGGAGUACGGUCGCAAGGCUGAAACUUAAAUGAAUUGGCGGGG